rnacentral:rRNA from 1 species
ACACGCAUGACACACUGCAUAUCAAUAAGCGGAGGAAAAGAAACUAACAAGGAUUCCCCUAGUAACGGCGAGUGAAGCGGGAAGAGCUCAAAUUUGAAAUCUUAAAGGGCUUCCCUUUACGAAUUGUAGUUUAAAGAAGUGUUUUCUGUUGGAGUUUCGGUAAAAGUUCUUUGGAAUAGGACAUCAUAGAGGGUGAGAAUCCCGUAUUUGACCGUUACUUUCCAGCUGUGUGGUACACUUUCAAAGAGUCGGAUUGUUUGGGAAUGCAGUCCAAAAUGGGUGGUAAAUUUCAUCUAAAGCUAAAUAUUGGCGAGAGACCGAUAGCGAACAAGUACCGUGAGGGAAAGAUGAAAAGAACUUUGAAAAGAGAGUUAAACAGUACGUGAAAUUGUCAAAAGGGAAGCGUUUGACACCAGUGUUGUUUAGUUGAAAAUCAAUUCAAUAAUUUUUGAUUUUGAGUAGUAUUGACUUCAUCAGCUUGCCUGCUUUCUUUUCAGGAAAUUAUUGAAUGCACUUUUCAGUUAACAAGUCAACAUCAAUUUCUUUUGUUGUAAAAGGGUAAGAGGAAGGUGGCUUACGUUUCGGCGUAAGUGUUUAUAGCCUUUUACCUCUGCAAUCGGAGAGAUUGAGGACAGCAGCGUAGACUCCUUCUGGGGUUAGAUACACUUGUGCUAAGCUAUAGCCUUGUAUAGACAACUUGUUGACUAUGCUCAGUCAUGUAGCUUACUCGCUUGUGCUAUUUUACCUACGCUUAGGAUGUUGACGCAUGAGAUAUACGC